rnacentral:rRNA from 1 species
AUUGAACGCUGGCGGCAUGCCUAACACAUGCAAGUCGAACGAGUGGCGGACGGGUGAGUAAUAUAUCGGAACGUGCCCGAUGGCGGGGGAUAACUACUCGAAACCGUGGCUAAUACCGCAUACUAUGCGUUCGGCCGAGAUUGGAUUAGCGAGUAGGUGGGGUAAAGGCUCACCAAGGCGACGAUCCGUAGCUGGUCUGAGAGGAUGACCGGCCACACUGGGACUGAGACACGGUCCAGACUCCGACGGGAGGCAGCAGUGGGGAAUAUUGGACAAUGGGCGAAAGCCGGAUGCAGCCAUGCCGCGUGUGUGAAGAAGGCCUUCGGGUUGUAAAGCACUGUCGGCAGAGAAGCGGUACCUGCAGAAGAAGCACCGGCUAACUCCGUGCCAGCAGCCGCGGUAAUUC